rnacentral:rRNA from 1 species
UACAGAGGUCUCAAGCGUUGUUCGGAUUCAUUGGGCGUAAAGGGUGCGUAGGCGGCUCGGUAAGGCGGGGGUGAAAUCUCGGGGCUUAACUCCGAAACUGCAUUCGAUACUGCGGUGCUUGAGGACUGGAGAGGAGAGUGGAAUUCAUGGUGUAGCAGUGAAAUGCGUAGAGAUCAUGAGGAAGACCAGUGGCGAAGGCGGGUCUCUGGACAGUUCCUGACACUGAGACACGAAGGCCAGGGGAGCAAACGGG